GAUGAACGCUAGCUACAGGCUUAACACAUGCAAGUCGAGGGGCAGCAUGAUCUUAGCUUGCUAAGAUUGAUGGCGACCGGCGCACGGGUGAGUAACGCGUAUCCAACCUUCCCUAUAGUAGAGGAUAGCCCGGCGAAAGUCGGAUUAAUACUCUAUGUUAUUCAAUGCGGACAUCUAAGUUGAAUCAAAGGUUUACCGCUAUAGGAUGGGGAUGCGUCUGAUUAGGUUGUUGGCGGGGUAACGGCCCACCAAGCCAUCGAUCAGUAGGGGUUCUGAGAGGAAGGUCCCCCACAUUGGAACUGAGACACGGUCCAAACUCC
rnacentral:rRNA from 1 species